UUUCCGUAGGUGAACCUGCGGAAGGAUCAUUAUUGUAUAACCGAGGUGCGAGGGCUGUCGCUGACCCGAAAGGUCGUGCACGCCCGAGUGCCCUCACACGCAUCCAUCUCACCCCUAUGUGCACCACCGCGUGGGUCCCCCUUUGGCUUGUUCGGAGGGGGGCUUACGUUUUCACACAAACUUUGUAUCCAGUGUAGAAUGUAUUUUUUGUUUUUGCGAUCACGCAGUCAAUACAACUUUCAACAACGGAUCUCUUGGCUCUC
rnacentral:misc_RNA from 1 species